UACGGGGGGGGUAAGCGUUGUUCGGAAUUACUGGGCGUAAAGGGCUCGUAGGCGGCCAACUAAGUCAUACGUGAAAUCCCUCAGCUUAACUGGGGAACUGCGUGUGAGACUGGCAGGCUUGAGUGCAGGAGAGGAACGCGGAAUUCCAGGUGUAGCGGUGAAAUGCGUAGAUAUCUGGAGGAACACCGGUGGCGAAGGCGCGUCUGGACUGGUAUCUGACACUGAUAGACGAAAGCCAGGGGAGCAAACGGG
rnacentral:rRNA from 1 species